rnacentral:rRNA from 1 species
UACAGAGGGCGCAACCGUUGCUCGGAAUUACUGGGAGUAAAGCGCGUGUAGGCGGUUGGCUAAGUCGACUGUGAAAGCCCAUGGCUCAACCAUGGAAGCGCAGUCGAUACUGGCUAACUGGAGUCCCGGAGAGGGUGGUGGAAUUCUCAGUGUAGAGGUGAAAUUCGUAGAUAUUGAGAGGAACACCGGUGGCGAAGGCGACCACCUGGACGGGUACUGACGCUGAGACGCGAAAGCGUGGGGAGCAAACAGG